UGCGGGAUUGGGUAGCCUGGCCGAUCCCGGCUGGCUCAUAACCAGCAGACCCACGUUCGAAUCGUGGUCCCGCAA
rnacentral:tRNA from 2 species